GGUUUUUUAACUUAACGGUUAAAGUGCAAACUUGAUAAGUUUGAAAUGUUGGUUCGAUUCCUUCAAAAAUCA
rnacentral:tRNA from 3 species